rnacentral:rRNA from 1 species
CGGUGGUGGGAGGGGAGAAAGACGGUUUUUUCCCCUUAUUUUGGUUUUCGGUUGGAUCAGACGUUGAAGCGCUAGUGGUCUCCGAUAAAACGACAUGAGGUAGGUUAGGUUGGUGGAAUUUAUGGCGACGAACCCCGUGUUAGGAGGAAUUGGGUCUUUAUCGUGGUUCGUAAUGAUGAUGUGGAGAGUUGUAGACGAGAAACCAAGGUGUCGAAGGAAGCUGUGGAAGCAGGUCUUUGAGAGCGCCUGUACCGCCGGCCCUUCGCGUGGUAGCCGGAGCGCUACCUGAUGAGCGGCAGGUCGUUCCGCCGCUACUCCACCCACCAGCUCUUGGACCACUUCCGGCCGCUGUCCUAGUAGGAGUAGGUGCAGGAUGGGUUCCCUCGUCUGCGGUCGGUGUUCCCCGAGACCUUCUCGUGGCCAAGUGGAGACUAGGGGGACGACCUCAAGUACCUCUACUUGCACGUCCGCGCCAUGCCCCAGUUAGGGCUGUUCCUCCACGACCUCUAGGACGUCCGACUCAGGUUCAGGUUCGUCCACCUUUAUGAUCGUUUUUAUAUGACCCCACUACGUUCCCUCUUUGAAACACUCCGUCAUCUACUAGAGUUCCAGCUGAGACAACACGAACCAACGUCCCCUAAUCCCGGGAAUUUUUCCCGUGAGGAACCUUCGCAGUCGUUAAUACAGCAGUUGUUACGUUGGACGGGGCAGUGUCACCACGCACCUGGGUUACCUAGUGAACGAACUUCUACAGCGAAGAUCUUACUACCGGAUCAAACGCACAAGUAACCAGGCAGCCGCAUGCCCGUUUACCACGAUAAAUUCUGUUAUCACUAUAAAACGGAAAAGCCUUGGAAACGAUAGGAACAUCACGUUAGAGUCACACAAGAGGAGACAAUAGAGAACCAAUAUGAUGUAAAGACAACAAAGAAUGUAUGAUAAACUUUUUUUUACGGAUGUCUGAACAAGUCACCACGUAAAAGCAAAUACACGUACUGAUCCGUCCGGGCGACUUCAACUUAACAAUGAGCUCAAAGACUUCUCGUAGAUUUUCACC